rnacentral:lncRNA from 1 species
CAGGCGAUCCACCCACCUCAGCCUCCCAAAGUGCUGGGAUGACAGGCGUGAGCCACUGUGCCCGGCCUAAAUGCCAGCUAUUAAAUAACUCAGGGACUGAAGGCUUGAGGACGCAUCAGGUUAAAUAGUAGUCAGUGCAGCCCUGGGAGAUGCUAAGCCUGGGGCUGCCACAGAUGGUGUGGUAUCUGGGGUUCCCCCAAGGCCAUCAGGCCACUCACUAGCAGGUUUCUGGGUGCCGAAGUGGAGCUCCAGGUCGAGGUAUUUCACCAUGUCACUCAGCUUAUCGUAGUCAGAGUCUUCCCCGAGCUGCGAGGGAGGAUGGGAGGUUCAGAGUAGGAGGAGCAGCAGCAGCUGGACUGGCCUCCCACUUCCCACCCUCUGAGGGCUGCCAUAGGGGCUUCCCGAGCAAAAGCACCCAUCAGGUGCUGGGAUAAAGCCCGGAGCAGGAGGAGACUGCAGGAGAAGCCAGAUCAUCCGAGUCACCGGGUGCUGAGCCAGCGCCUCCUGGGGUCAAUCGAGACUCAAGACUUGGAACACUACUCGUGCAGAAGCCAGCAAGGUCUCCUUGGAGAGCGGUGAGUUCACCAGGGCUGCCCUGGGCAGAGUGAGCUGGUGCUGAGAGAACUGCAACUGUGACAGCCUAGGGGCCAGACGCUGGACACGUGGCUGUGAUGAAUGGCAUAGAUGAGAGACCGCCACACCUCGCCUCACCCGCCUCCCUCCACACCUGCUUGCGUGCCCACCUCCUCGUAGUCGUUCUCCGGGGUCAGGAAAUCAUCCACGAUGGUGACCCGGGGGCCCAGCUGCUCGCUCAGCACGUCCAGGAAGCGAGAUGGGGCCUCACUAUGUUGCCAGGCUGGUCUCAAACUCCUGGGCUCCAUUGAUCCUCCUGCCUCGGCCUCCCAAAGUGCUGGGAUUACAGGCACGACCCACGGUACCCAGGCUACUUUCUUGAUCCACAGCUGAGGAGAAACCAGGCCAUACAGAGAUAGGAGCUGAAGGGACACGGUGAGAAGUGACCAAAAGACAAGAGUGUGAGCCCUCCGUUAUGCCUGGACAGGGCCACUAGAGGGCUCCCUGGUCUACUGGUAACGCCAGUGCCUGGGAAGGCACCCGUUGCUUAGCAGACCGGGAAAGGGAGUCUCCCUUUCCUGGUGGAGUUAAAGAAGACUCUGCUCCACCACUGCUUGCCCGCCCGCAGCCACCCAGAGGCCUAACGCUGUCCCUGUGAUGCUGUGCUUCAGUGGUCACGCUCCUGGUCCGCAUUCAUGUUCUGCCCUGUGCACUCGGCUCCACCUUCUAGAUAGCAGCAGCAGAAUUAGUGAAAGUACUAAAGUCUUUAAAAUGCAUAGAAGAAAUAAUUACGUAAGCUGUCCCCUCUUUCUCUCCGCCUCAGCUACCAAAUAGGGAAGGGCCCCCUGUCUGGCGGACACGUGACUCACAUGACCUUACCUAUCAUUGGAGAUGACUCUCACUCCAUACCCUGCCCCUUUGCCUUGUACACAAUAAAUAACAGCACGGCCAGGCAUUCGGGGCCACUACUGGUCUCCGCGUCUUGGUGGUAGUGGUCCCCCGGGCCCAGCUGUCUUUUCUUCU